rnacentral:rRNA from 1 species
AUUGAACGCUGGCGGCAGGCCUAACACAUGCAAGUCGAGCGAGCGGCGGACGGGUGAGUAAUGUAUGGGGACUGCCCGAUCGAGGGGGAUAACUACUGGAAACGGUGGCUAAUACCGCAUACUAGCGGAUAACCCAUAUGGGAUUAGCUAGUAGGUUGGGUAAAGGCUCACCUAGGCGACGAUCUCUAGCUGGUCUGAGAGGAUGAGCAGCCGGCCUGUGACUGGGACACGGCCCAGACUCCUACGGAGUCAGCAGUCGGGGAGCUUGCACGAUGGGCGCAAGCAUGCUGCAGCCAUGCCGCGUGUAUGAAGUAGGCAUUAGGGUUUUAAAGUACUUUCAGCGGGGAGUCGUUACCCGCAGGAGAAGCACCGGUUAACACCGUGCCCGCAGCCGCGGUAAUAA